UGAACGCUAGCGGCAGGCUUAACACAUGCAAGUCGAGGGGUAACAGGGAGUGCUUGCACUCCGCUGACGACCGGCGCACGGGUGCGUAACGCGUAUGCAACCUACCUUCUACAGGGGGAUAGCCCAGAGAAAUUUGGAAUAAUACCCCAUACGAUCAUUAAUCGGCAUCGAUUGAUGAAGAAAACUCCGGUGGUAGAAGAUGGGCAUGCGUCCUAUUAGUUAGUUGGUGAGGUAACGGCUCACCAAGACGUCGAUAGGUAGGGGUCCUGAGAGGGAGAUCCCCCACACUGGUACUGAGACACGGACCAGACUCCUACGGGAGGCAGCAGUGAGGAAUAUUGGACAAUGGAGGCAACUCUGAUCCAGCCAUGCCGCGUGCAGGAAGACGGCCCUAUGGGUUGUAAACUGCUUUUAUACAGGAAGAAUUGUACCUACGUGUAGGUAUUUGACGGUACUGUACGAAUAAGGAUCGGCUAAC
rnacentral:rRNA from 1 species